GCCUAGGCCAAGGGUUGAUUGCUUGAUUCUCUUCUCCUCACCCCUCCUUAAAUAGACAAGAGAGACUAGAUCAAAUCAAACUCUUUUUGGUGUUAGGAAUAGGACUCUCUAUAUUUAAAUCAAAUCCAAACUUCUUAAAGCAUAAGGAAUCCUAAUCCAAGUAGGAGAGGUGCUUUGCACCUCCCUUCAUUAUGCUGCACGCCCAAGGGGAGGGGGCUAUUUUCAACCCUCUCCUCAACUAUCUUGGUAGG
rnacentral:lncRNA from 1 species